rnacentral:rRNA from 1 species
UACGUAGGGUGCAAGCGUUGCCCGGAUUUAUUGGGCGUAAAGGGCGCGUAGGCGGCUCGGCACGUCCGUUGUGAAAUCGCCCGGCUCAACUGGGCGGGGUCAGCGGAUACGGUCGAGCUUGAGCAAGCUAGGGGGCAAUGGAAUUCCCGGUGUAGUGGUGGAAUGCGUAGAUAUCGAGAGGAACACCAGUGGCGAAGGCGAGUCUCUGGACAUUUCCUGACGCUGAGGCACGAAAGCCAGGGGAGCAAACGGG